rnacentral:rRNA from 1 species
UACGGGGGGAGCAAGCGUUGUUCGGAUUUACUGGGCGUAAAGGGCGCGUAGGCGGCUUACCAAGUCAGGGGUGAAAUUUUGCGGCUUAACCGUAACAGUGCCUUUGAUACUGGUAGGCUCGAGGGAGGUAGGGGUUCGCGGAACUUCUGGUGGAGCGGUGAAAUGCGUUGAUAUCAGAAGGAACGCCGGUGGCGAAAGCGGCGAACUGGAUCUCUUCUGACGCUGAGGCGCGAAAGCUAGGGGAGCAAACGGG